GAAUUACUCCAUUCGUCCCAAAAUUUUUGUUUUAGAUUUGUCUAAAUACAGAUGUAUCUAGUUACGUUUUAGUGUUAGAUACAUCUGCAUCUAGACAAAUCUAAGAUAAGAAUUUUAGGAUGGAGGGAGUAGUAC
rnacentral:pre_miRNA from 1 species